CCUACUUUAUUCCUCCUUCUUUCCUCUUCCCCCCUUUUCUCCCUCCUGCUGGCGCCCCGCCGCGUGGGUGAAGAAGGUCUUCGGAUCGUAAAACCCUGUUGUUAGAGAAGAAAGUGCGUGAGAGUAACUGUUCACGUUUCGACGGUAUCUAACCAGAAAGCCACGGCUAACUACGUGCCAGCAGCCGCGGUAAUACGUAGGUGGCAAGCGUUAUCCGGAUUUAUUGGGCGUAAAGGGAACGCAGGCGGUCUUUUAAGUCUGAUGUGAAAGCCUUCGGCUUAACCGGAGUAGUGCAUUGGAAACUGGGAGACUUGAGUGCAGAAGAGGAGAGUGGAACUCCAUGUGUAGCGGUGAAAUGCGUAGAUAUAUGGAAGAACACCAGUGGCGAAAGCGGCUCUCUGGGCUGUAACUGACGCUGAGGUUCGAAAGCGUGGGUAGCAAACAGGAUUAGAUACCCCUGUAGUC
rnacentral:rRNA from 1 species